GGAUGUAAGGGUGAUCUGGCUGUGAUAUCUCUCACCCCAUUGAUUGCCAGGCUUGGUUUGGCUGGCUAGGCAGGUGUCCCCUUCCUCCCUCACCACCCCAUGUUUUUCAUUCCUGAAGCUGUUUGCUCAGUUGAAGAGGAUGACCUUCUCCAAUGGAGGAGGAUUUUUCUUUGGUAUAUGAGUAGCUGCUCCCCUGCUAGAACCUCCAAACAAGCUCUCAAGAACUGUUUCUUUGCUUGUAUUCACCCCAUUGAACCCAUGAACACAGUUGCACUGGCCACUGGAGCUUGGCUAUCAAG
rfam:Equus caballus chromosome 29, whole genome shotgun sequence.